rnacentral:rRNA from 1 species
AUGGAUAUGACAGUCGAGUACUUUGAGAGGAGGAAAGCUGAGAAUCCAGAAUUUUUCUAUGCGAAACAAAAGGAUCCUGCAACAAACUCCGUGACUGCCUUGUUUUGGGUUGAUGGGAGAACAAGGGCGUUGUACCCGAAAUAUAAAGAUUGUGUGUUCUUCGAUACAACCUUCUGCACCAACAGAUACAAUAUGCCAUUUGCUCCUAUAGUUGGGGUCAACAACCAUCUCCAGACCAUUGCACUCGGGUGUGCCUUGUUGCCGGAUGAAAGUAUUGAAACAUUUAAGUGGGUCUUCCAGCAGUGGAUGGUUGCAAUGGAUAACGAGCAUCCCACAAACAUCAUGACCGACCAGGACAAAGCGAUGGCAACAGCUAUUGAGGAUGUGUUGCCAAACACUGCCAUAGGUGUUGCAAGUUUCAUGUGUUUAGCAAUGCACGUACCAUGUUGA